AUACUAUUCCAGUUGUUAAUAAUAUGAACAGUAUAACGUACAUUAAGCACCUACUACUUAAACCACACCCACACACCAGUAGCAGCAAAGCAAGCAUAAUGAAAACUUAUACUAUACUACAUACAAUGGUUGAGUGGUUGCCGAAUACUAUGACAUUUGAAAUGAAAACCGAAUCUGAAAAUUCUUACUAUGUGUACUGACAAGAUAAUUCUAAGGAAUGAUAUUCUACACAUCUUCAUAUGAAUUACUACACCACAUAGUUCACAUCAUCGACAUGAAACAAUUCAAAUUUAAGAAACCCUCAC
rnacentral:lncRNA from 1 species